CUAGACAUAGUAAGAUGAUGCCAGUAUUAUGUACCAGCAAAAUUACUCUACAAUUAGCGGGGACUUGGACUUUACACUAACAAAUGCAAUUCUGGAGGUUCAAAUAGCUAAUGAAAACGAAUUAAGUUGAUUUUGGGUUACAUGAGCAUUUUAGCAUUUUCGAGCAAAAACUACAUUUCUUUCCAUAUAUUUCGUGUGAGAGCUAGUGGUGGACGAAUAGUACAUUUCGAGCAAAUGUAAUAGCAUUUCAAUAAAACUAUGCGAUACUCAUCGAUAUUUUGAAUUUUUGUAGGAUAUCGAUUACACACAAAUAAAAUAAAUAAAUGGCGCCAAAUUCAAAACGAUACAAAAAUUAUACAAAACGUAAUGGUUAUAGCUUAUA